rnacentral:rRNA from 1 species
UACGUAGGUGGCAAGCGUUGUCCGGAUUUAUUGGGUUUAAAGGGUGCGUAGGCGGUCUAUUAAGUCAGCGGUGAAAUACUCCAGCUUAACUGGAGGGGUGCCAUUGAUACUGAUGGACUUGAGUCAAGUCGAGGUAGGCGGAAUUGACGGUGUAGCGGUGAAAUGCUUAGAUAUCGGGAGGAACACCGGUGGCGAAGGCGGCGACCUGGGUAGAUACUGACGCUGAGGCACGAAAGCGUGGGGAGCAAACAGG